GACGAACGCUGGCGGCGUGCUUAACACAUGCAAGUCGAACGGAAAGGCCCUGCUUUUGUGGGGUGCUCGAGUGGCGAACGGGUGAGUAACCCGUGAGUAACCUGCCCUUGACUUUGGGAUAACUUCAGGAAACUGGGGCUAAUACCGGAUAGGAGCUCCUGCUGCAUGGUGGGGGUUGGAAAGUUUCGGCGGUUGGGGAUGGACUCGCGGCUUAUCAGCUUGUUGGUGGGGUAGUGGCUUACCAAGGCUUUGACGGGUAGCCGGCCUGCGAGGGUGACCGGCCACAUUGGGACUGAGAUACGGCCCAGACUCCUACGGGAGGCAGCAGUGGGGAAUAUUGCACAAUGGGCGGAAGCCUGAUGCAGCAACGCCGCGUGCGGGAUGACGGCCUGCGGGUUGUAAACCGCUUUCGCCUGUGACGAAGCGUGAGUGACGGUAAUGGGUAAAGAAGCACCGGCUAACUACGUG
rnacentral:rRNA from 1 species